AUGUUUGUUGAAAUGAGAGAUAGUUGGCAUCUCCCCUGACAUGGACGGGAGGGAGUACCUUUCGAGCUUUUUGUUACACAUCCGGUUAAGGCUACCCACCCUUGUGUUGAAUCUGUAACCCAAUGUUUUC